AACUAACGCUAUUAUUGAUACAGUUUCUGUACUAUAUUGGUACGCGAAGCUUCCAACCCGCCUCUGGCGGUUAUGUUUGGUCAAUUUC
rnacentral:misc_RNA from 1 species